rnacentral:lncRNA from 1 species
AAUCAAAUGCCUAAAGCAUGUUCACGCAUCAUGUUUAUAUGUAAUAGGUUGAUUGCACUAGUUACACGAAUAUGACGCAUUGCAUUAUUUAUUGUUGAUGUGGAUGGACCAAGGCGACCCCAAUAGCCCAUGUUAUGUAUGAAAGACCUGGGUAAGUCCCUUCAUGGGCCAGGCACUAUGCAGAGGGAGUUUUGGUGGUCAUGUCCGUCUGUUAUGUGGAAUGUUUGUGCUGUGACGUAUUUCAUGAAAGCAUGUAAUUAAUGAACUAUUUUCUUUGUUUCUACUCACUGGGCUUUUUAGCUCACCCCUCUCCCCUAACCCCAGUUUUGCAGGACAGUGGUAGGCCAGGAAGACGUCAAGGGUAAAGGUUUUGCUUAUGUAAUAGUUUUAGAUUAGCACUUUUAGUGUGGACAUGUAUUGUAAAUUGAGAUAAUGAAAUGUAAUAUAAUGUAACGUAAAGUAGAGUUAUGUUUAUGGAUUAGAACUGUGCUUGGCCCUAAGACUUGGUUAGUCCCUGUCUAAUACAUGAUGUAUGUAAUAUUUUAGAUGUUGAGUUGUUUGAACUAAACUGGUGGCAUGUGUUGUUUACCACGCUAUGGUUUGAUGAGGACCCUAGUAGAGGUCUUAUGUUUGUGGUUUGAUGCAUGCACAGGUUAGGUUCUAGUUCUUUGGAUGUAAUCCCAGCUUGAUGUAUGUUAUGUUGACCCAGCUAGAGUUUUGUUAAGAGCUCUAGUAUGGGGUUCUUUUAUGUUUCCAGUAUGUUGCAUACAGGUCAAGCUCGAUAUUUACAUCAGAUGUUUAAGUUUUUAUGUUAAAGUUUUGAUCAUGUAGGGGAUUUGACCAGGUAAUAGAAGGUAUGUUUGGCUUACUACGGGUCCCGACGGCCUUAAGCCGAUCUGGAUCCUAGCGCCGAUGGCGGUUCAGGCCGUUACAGAGGGGUAUCGGUUUCUGGGUCAUUACAGAGUGGUAUCAGAGCUUUGGGCCUCAUCAGUACGGUAUGUUGAGCAAAGAUGCUCAAGGAUUAGAGAUAUCCCACAUCGGAAAGAGGUUGGUUUAGAGGUCAUAGGAGGGCAAGCACAAUAGGAGAAUCAUGUCCACUAGGAUAGGAUGUUGAGUCCUGUCUUGAUUGAUGAUGUGUAAUGCCAUGAUGUUAUGCUAUGUAUAUGCAGGUUCAUGUGUUUUCAUAUGAACCGUAUGAUACUAAUGAUUGUUUGUAUGCUUGUGUGUUGUUCUUCAGAGGAGCCAGAAUGCGAGGUGCUCGUCAAUCUGUGAAAUCGACUGGAGUUCCAUCUGAGAGGGAAGGUUUGGACACCUUUCCCCCUGCUCUGCCAAGAGCGCAGUCGUGGGGAGUCAGCAGAUGGGGAACAUCAAAGGACCCUGGAAGGUCUUUUGAUGUAAGCAGAGAAGGAAUGGCUCCAAGACGGAUGUCAGCUAGUAUGAGGGAAGUAGAGUUGGGUGUUCAGAGAAGGGAUGUCAGUUUGGGAAUCAGAGUGCCAGAGGAAGGCAUGGGAGAUUCUCAGGAGGAUGCUCCGACUCAGGAUUCCAGGAUCUCAGGUUCAGGAGGGAUUGAUCCCUCCACUUUGAGUACAGCCUCCACAAAAAGUAAGAAGUGGGGCAGAGGCCUCAGAAGGUCGAAGAAGAAGUUUUGGCAGAAUCUGAAGGCUAGUUUGGGUUUUGGUGGCUCAAGCUCUGGCUCAGGCAGUUCAAGGUGCACGAGGUGCGGAAGGCCGCACAAGGGAGUCUGUCUGAUUGGGACUAAUCUAUGUUUUAGAUGCGGACAGGAGGGGCACAUAGCACGUGAGUGUCCCACUGCGCCCAGGUUGGCUCCGUCCCAGCAAGCAGCUUCAGGUAGAGCAGCUCAGCCAGUAGCUCCAGCCGUGUUUCGGGUUAGUGGUCGAGGCAGAGGAAGAGGGUCAGCCUUUUCUUCUGAAGGUUUCCGUGGAGAAGGUCAGUCAGCUCCAGCUCGGAUCUUCACCCAAGCUCAGCAAGAGGCAGACACAUCGGACAUGGUGGUGUCAGGUACGCUCACUUUUGAAUGUUCUGAUGUGUAUGUUUUUGUGAACCCUAGUGUUUUUCUCUUUCUUUAGUUGCUCUAGGAGCUGUCGAGAGGUUGAGUUGAUAGCUUCUGGGCUAGAGUGUUCUCUUUGGUCAGUGGAACCGAGUGUGAUCCAUCUAUGGCGGAGUCAGUCUGCCGGUUCAGUUCUGUGACAGUUGAGGGUAAAUGCCUUCCACCCGACUUUGAGGUCCUAGACUUGACCGUCUGGACGUCAGUUUAGGAUUGGAUUGGGUUUUUUCUGCUCGUGGCGCUAUCUUGGUCUGUAGAGACAAGGUAGUUAAGUUCAGAGGACAGGAUGGGUCAGAGGUUUUCUUCUGAGGGAACACAGUAGGGAUGCCUAGAGGUUUGAUGUUAGCCUAUCAGGUUCGUAGGGUAUGUAGGAGGGGUUGUCAGAGGGUUCUAGCUCUUGUUUGAGAGUUUAUCAGUCAGGUCCGGGAACCAGCCUCAGUGCUAGUUGUAGAGAGAGGGAGUAGUCAGAGUAAGGGGCGAGACUUGGUAGACAGGGGUUUUAUCCGACCUAGUACCUCACCCUGGAUUGUUCCAGUGUGGUGGUGGGAAAAGGAGGAUGAAUCCUUGACACUUUGUAACGACUGUAAGCAGUUGACCAAGGUCACUACCAAGGGCAGAUAUUCCCAUGCAGAAUGGAUGAUCUAUUGGGACAGCUAGUAGGAGCUGUUUGUUUUUCAAGAUAGAUCUGAAAUCCGGGUACUACCUGUGAGAGUUAGAGUUAGUUUUGGGUUAGCAGUGAGCAGAAGCCUGUUAGUAAAGACGAAGAGAGAAGAGAAAGGAUCAGAGUAGCGCAGCGGAAGCCAGUGGAGUUCAGGAGUAGGUUAGGUACUGCUAAGGUGUUUCUUUUGAUAAUUGUGAUUUCCUAUGGAGAAGUCCAUUUGGAUUUCCGGAUUCCUUUGUUAUGGAAGCUCGUGUCAGAUCCAAGUGAGGUUCUUAAAGAACCAAAGGUGGAGAUCUCAUAGGAUCUCACCUAUGUUGAGCAGUUAGUGCGGAUCAUGGACACAUAAGUUAAGAAUUGAGGAGCAAGGAAAUCCUGAUGGUGAAACGUUUUGGAAAUCACCACUGGUUGAUAGUGAGUGUUUGGGAGACCCGGGAGUUUUACUCCAGCAGUGCCUAUAUCUCUCUUUCAGGAGAGAGAUUUUUAGGUUUUGCUUGCUGGUUUGCUUGCUUGUUUAUGUAUGAUUGAUGCUAUGCUUGAGAAUGCCUGUUUGUUUGUGGAACAUUCGGGGACGAAUGUUCUUAAAGGGGGAAAGAAUGUAAUACCCGGCUAGAUUCCGGCAUCAGAAUCCCUACCUUCCUGCGGAAUCUCCGUUGGAAUCUAGAAUUCUUAAGAUGCCAGAGGCUUCUAGAGGGGUAAAAUGUGUUUUCUAAAAGGUAUUUACUGAUUUCAUGGUUUUAAAAGAAAAAGAAUUGAGUUUUUUUUUUAAAAAAAAGAAAAGACCAAGGAGGCAUUUGCCAGGUUCGGCCGCCGAAAGUGAAGUUCGGCCGCCGAAUAUGGAAAGGCUUCGGGAGCGCCUUUGGCCUCCGAAAGUCUUGUUUGAACGAGCCAAGGUUCGGCCCCCGAAAGUCAAGUUCGGCCGCCGAACAUGCAUGAGUUUAGAGGGCACGUUAGGCUGCCGAAGGUCUCUGACCAGGCCACCUAUAAAGGGCCCUCAAAUCGAAAAUGGGCGAGUUUUCUCCCCAUUCUCGAGCUCAGGUGAGUUUUGUCCUCCCUUGGCCGUUUUCAUGUUUUUCUUCAUCUCCUUCAUGUUUUCAUGAGUUCCAUGGUUAUUUGAAGAGUUUUAAAGCUUAGAUCGAAGUUUUGGGAGCUUGGAGUUUUUGGAGCUUGGAUUCUCCACACCUCCGAGUUAGAGAUCACGCAACCCUCGAUCUUCAAGAGGUAAGUGUAGAUCUUUGCUUUCCUAGUGUCUUUUGAAGUUUUAUGAAGGUUUUAAUGGUAGAGUAUGGGUAGAUAUGCAUGUUAGGAUUUAUGUGGGUUUUAUGCCCAAUGUAUGUUAUGUGAUGCUCAUGUAUGUUUAUAUGAUGCUAUGUUGAAUGUUUAGGCUAGGUUAUGCAUGUGGGAGAGUGUAUGCAUGAGUGGGAAAGAGCAAGUGAGAUUAUGGAUAGUUUUGUUGGUUUUGGCUUAUGUGGGUCAUAAGCCAUUUAAGUAUGCUUUUUGAUGUUCUUUGUUGGAGUUUAAGCUUGUUUAAACUCCUUUGUGCAUGGUUAAGGGUUUAUGCAUGUUUUGAUAAGGUUGGAUGCUUGUUUUGGGGUGUUUGGAAGGUUGGGAGGCUUGAAUGCAUGAGAAGCUGAGUUCUGCCCUUCUGGGAAGAACUCAGGUUCGGCCGCCAAAAGUGGUUUCGGCCGCCGAACCUGCCUUUGGAUGCAUGGAUUGGCCGCCUAACCUUGCCCCCGAAAGUUGAGUUUUGGCUUGAAAGCAGACUUUCGGCCGCCGAAGGAAGGAUUCGGCCGCCGAAAGUGCCUGACUUUCAUCUCUGGAGUGGGACUUUCGGCCGUCGAAGGUGCCGCCGAAAGUGCCCGAGUUUCAUCUCUGGAGGGAGGGUUCGGCCGCCGAAGGUGCCACCGAAAGUGCCCUGUCCAGCCUUUUCAAGGUUUUUUUCUAUGCAUGUUUAAGUGAUGUUUUAGUGGGUUUUUAGGGAGUUGUUUAUGAGUUGUUUAGAGUGUGUUUGGCACCUCAUUCGAGUCCACCUGUGUAGGACCGGACCCGAGGGAUCGAGGAGGCCAUCAGUGUUAGCAGUUGCAGAGUCAGUCUAACGUCUGCCAGAGGUGAGUAGAACUAAACUUAAUCUUUUAUUUUACGAAAUCAAAUGCCUAAAGCAUGUUCACGCAUCAUGUUUUUAUGUAAUAGGUUGAUUGCACUAGUUACACGAAUAUGACGCAUUGCAUUAUUUAUUGUUGAUGUGGAUGGACCAAGGCGACCCCAAUAGCCCAUGUUAUGUAUGAAAGACCUGGGUAAGUCCCUUCGUGGGCCAGGCACUAUGUUAUGUAUGAAAGACCUGGGUAAGUCCCUUCAUGGGCCAGGCACUAUGCAGAGGGAGUUUUGGUGGUCAUGUCCGUCUGUUAUGUGGAAUGUUUGUGCUGUGACGCAUUUCAUGAAAGCAUGUAAUUAAUGAACUGUUUUCUUUGUUUCUACUCACUGGGCUUUUUAGCUCACCCCUCUCCCCUAACCCC